UACGGAAGGCAGCAGUGGGGAAUAUUGCACAAUGGGCGCAAGCCUGAUGCAGCCAUGCCGCGUGUAUGAAGAAGGCCUUCGGGUUGUAAAGUACUUUCAGUCGUGAGGAAGGUGUUAAGGUUAAUAACCUUAGCAAUUGACGUUAGCGACAGAAGAAGCACCGGCUAACUCCGUGCCAGCAGCCGCGGUAAUACGGAGGGUGCGAGCGUUAAUCGGAAUUACUGGACGUAAAGGGCACGCAGGCGGUUAAUUAAGUUGGAUGUGAAAUCCCCGGGCUUAACCUGGGAAUGGCAUUCAAGACUGGUUAGCUAGAGUCUUGUAGAGGGGGUAGAAUUCCAUGUGUAGCGGUGAAAUGCGUAGAGAUGUGGAGGAAUCCGGUGGCGAAGGCGGCCCCUGGACAAAGACUGACGCUCAUGGUGCGAAAGCGUGGGGAGCAAACG
rnacentral:rRNA from 1 species